CUGUUGCUGGGUGAUUAUGGUGCUCUGAUGGUUGAUGGUGAUUUGUGGUAUUUAGUGAAAGUAUUAGAGAAAUACUCAGCCAGUGAGGAGAGUAUGCUGGCUUCUGUCCUCACCAGAGGGGAUUGUUUUGGAGAGAGAGGAGAUGACGAGAUGUCGAUGAGCGCUCUUGCCACAGGCGAUGUGACAUGUUUGGUCAUAGACAAAGAGGUUUUCAAAAAAGUAACUGAAGGUUUGGACGAUGCAUUGAAAAUCUUUCCAACAAGGCCAGGUCAAAGGUAGAUGAAGAUGGGUCUGCGUUUGGUGAAUCGUCUCUCUGCAGUUUUCAGGUGUUGUGUAAUCUGGGGGAAGGACAGUAUGGUCACACUCAGCUCGUCCAUUUGAAGAAUGACUCCAGCUGUAAGUUUGCAUUGAAGACCAUAAGAAAACAGGUGAUACAGAGCCCAGGACAAAGAGAGAGGAUACUUGCAGAGAAACACAUCCUGAUGUGAUGAAGUCCAUUUAUUGUAAGGUCAGACCAUCAGGACACCACAGGACAGGGGUAUCCAAUCCUGCUCCUGGAGGGCCAACGUCCUAGAGAGCUUAACUCCAACACACUUAUUUGUGUGUUUACAGUUUUUCUCAACCACAGUCAGGCAUUUCUCAAAUCAGAAGUGAAAUUCUCAAAACUGUAACCUCCACAUCAUUUAGUCAUUUAUACACAUCAUAAAACCAGUUUCUCAUUCUUCUGAAUAAGUUGUGAUUGCUUUUGUAAAUUCAUGUGUAAUACUCCUGUAAAGGAUGAUAUUAAAUGAAUGAGCGUUCAAGUGACGUUUCUUCACCAAUGCUGUAUCAUGAAUCAAUACAAAUGAUGUGAAUUGCACAUGUGCAUAGUCUCACACUUUUCAACAGUAUAUUCACAAAUGCAUAGUAUCAACACAGUAUUGACUUAGAUGCUGUUACUGUAACCACAAAUCACAAUUUAUGACACAAGGCCAGGUAUGUAAGUAGGUCCACUCGACUACAUAGUCUUCUCUGGGCGUCAUACAUACACUAUCAGUGAAAAAGCAUGAAAUAAACUCAUAACAGAAGGAAUAAGGAAUAACAACAUAUAUAAUGAAUAAAGUAUAACAUGAAAUGCAUACAACAGUACAUGUAUUUUACAUCCGUGUCCUAAUAACCAGCGUGCGAUCUAAUCACGGCACAUUUAUGCUAACCAUGUGCUCGGACUUGAUGGUUAACAUUAAACCGAGUUUAUGAACAUAUCAAUCAUAUGUAUCUCGAAAAACAAUGAGUAUAGGGAACAGCCUUUCUUACAAAACGAUUACAGCAGUGAUGGUACGUCUUGUGUACAUUUUAUACCUGUAAAGGAUGAUAUUAAAUGAAUGAGCGUUCAAGCGAUGUUUCUUCACCGAUGCUUUAUCAUGAAUGAAGCAUAUCGCGAGAACUCCCGCACGCAGUGGCGCGCACCUUUUCAUUCAACCAAUCACACACAUCCAUCUCCAGCUGAUAAUAUGCAUAUUAAAUCGGA